CUAAUAGCUUUUAAAGUUUCAUUUUUUAUGUUUGGUGCCAGAAUUAAGAAGUGGCCCUUUCUCCGUAUAAAGCAAAUGGAGUUUUAUAUGCUAGAUUCAAUGUUGUGAACUGGGAAAAACAUAUCUGGUUUUAUAUAGGCUUUAAGAAAAAUCAGGACUGAUCCUAGGAAGAUUAGGAAGGGGAUUUAUAGGACUAAUAUAGUCACUAUCUCAGUGUUAUGACUUACUGCUUUGGUUUUCAUGGAAUUUUCUUCUAAAGAACAUUGUGAGUCACUGGUGUAGACAGAAUCCUGAACACUCUUAGACCACUGACAAGUAGAAAACCCUGUUUGCAGCCAGCAGGGUCUGUGAUUUGCCCAUAGUAGGUACUUAAUAAAUAUUGUUGACUUGAUUUGGCUUAGGUUUGUCACUGGAAAAUGUAAAAGCCAAUGCACAUUUAUAGAUUGAUUUAAAUUUUGGGGAGCAUUUUUGCUAUGCUAUGUACAUUUAGAGAAAUAAUGGCUAUUUUUGUCUAACAGGAAUUGUAGGCAUGCGUAAGUUGAAUGUGCAAGAUGGACCUCUGAGGAGACAAGAACCAUUAGAAACUUUUGCAUACUAUAUUAUCUGAAUAUUCAUAAGUAAAUGCAAAUAGAAGAGCAAUUUCUGUCAAAUUGGGACAUUUAAACAAAUCAAGUGUUAACUUUGUUACUAAAUUUUUAAAAUGCGUUUUUUGAUAUUUACCUAAAUGAAUUGGAAAUGUAGGUCCACGCAAAAACCCGUACACAAAUGUCCACAGCAGCUUUAUUUUUAAUUUCCAAAUAGCCGAGAUGUCUUUCAAUAAGUGAAUGGAUAGAUAAACUGUGGUACAUCCAUAUGAUGAGGUAUUAUUCAGAGAUAUAAAGAAAUGAGGUACCAAGCCACAUAGAAAUGGAGAAAACUUAGAUGUCAAUUGGUAAGUGAAAGAAGUGAAUUUGAAAAGGCUGUGUAUGAUUCCAUCUAUGUGAUAUUAUGGAAAAGGCAAAAAUAUGGUGACAGUGAAAAGGUUAGUGAAUCCCAGGGCAAGUGGGUAGAUCUGGGGAGUAAGAGGGAUGAAUAGGUGGAGCACAGGGGACUUUUAGGACCUGAAAAUAUCAGGUCCUAGCCAUAAUGCUGGAUAGAUGUCAUUAUACAUUUGUUGAAAUCCGUAGAAUGUGUAACACAAAGAAUGAACCUCAAUGUAAACUGUGGGCUUUAGUUAAUAAUAACGUAUCAACGCUGGCUCAGCAAUUAAUUUCAACAAAUAUACAGUACUAAUGCAAGAUGUUAACAUAGGGGAAACUGUGUGGGAGGUAAAGGGGUAAAUGGGAACUCUGUACUUACCAUUCAGUUUUUUUUUCUCUAAAUCUAAAACUGUUCCAAACAACAUAUUUUAUUUUAAUAUAGUAAACAUGCAAAGGCAAACCCUAUUUCCUGUACAUAGUGGAUGUCUGAUAAAUACAUGGUACAUGAAUGCAUGAUGGGAUGAGUGAAGAAAUGAACUGCGUGAUAAUGUAUGUGAAAGUACCAUGUAAACAAACUGCCUGACAAAUGUGGGGGGAAAAGCUAGUGAGGAAAAAUGGAAAACAAGUCAUGAAAAACAUUCAGUGUAAAAGUUUGAGAAGGCAUAAGAGGAAUUUGAAC
rnacentral:lncRNA from 1 species